rnacentral:rRNA from 1 species
UACGUAGGUGGCAAGCGUUAUCCGGAAUUAUUGGGCGUAAAGCGCGCGCAGGUGGUUCCUUAAGUCUGAUGUGAAAGCCCCCGGCUCAACCGGGGAGGGUCAUUGGAAACUGGGGAACUUGAGUGUAGAAGAGGAAAGUGGAAUUCCACGUGUAGCGGUGAAAUGCGUAGAGAUGUGGAGGAACACCAGUGGCGAAGGCAGCUCUCUGGGACGGUACUGACGCUGAGACGCGAAAGCGUGGGGAGCGAACAGG